rnacentral:rRNA from 2 species
UGAAGAGUUUGAUCCUGGCUCAGAUUGAACGCUGGCGGCAUGCCUUACACAUGCAAGUCGAACGGCAGCACGGGUGCUUGCACCUGGUGGCGAGUGGCGAACGGGUGAGUAAUACAUCGGAACAUGUCCUGUAGUGGGGGAUAGCCCGGCGAAAGCCGGAUUAAUACCGCAUACGAUCUACGGAUGAAAGCGGGGGACCUUCGGGCCUCGCGCUAUAGGGUUGGCCGAUGGCUGAUUAGCUAGUUGGUGGGGUAAAGGCCUACCAAGGCGACGAUCAGUAGCUGGUCUGAGAGGACGACCAGCCACACUGGGACUGAGACACGGCCCAGACUCCUACGGGAGGCAGCAGUGGGGAAUUUUGGACAAUGGGCGAAAGCCUGAUCCAGCAAUGCCGCGUGUGUGAAGAAGGCCUUCGGGUUGUAAAGCACUUUUGUCCGGAAAGAAAUCCUU